rnacentral:rRNA from 1 species
AACGAACGCUGGCGGCAUGCCUAACACAUGCAAGUCGAACGAGACCUUCGGGUCUAGUGGCGCACGGGUGCGUAACGCGUGGGAAUCUGCCCUUGUGUUCGGAAUAACAGUUGGAAACGACUGCUAAUACCGGAUGAUGACGUAAGUCCAAAGAUUUAUCGCCCAGGGAUGAGCCCGCGUAGGAUUAGCUAGUUGGUGGGGUAAAGGCCUACCAAGGCGACGAUCCUUAGCUGGUCUGAGAGGAUGAUCAGCCACACUGGGACUGAGACACGGCCCAGACUCCUACGGGAGGCAGCAGUGGGGAAUAUUGGACAAUGGGCGAAAGCCUGAUCCAGCAAUGCCGCGUGAGUGAUGAAGGCCUUAGGGUUGUAAAGCUCUUUUACCCGGGAUGAUAAUGACAGUACCGGGAGAAUAAGCCCCGGCUAACUCCGUG